rnacentral:rRNA from 1 species
GACGAACGCUGGCGGCGUGCUUAACACAUGCAAGUCGAACGAGGAGCGAUGGAAGCUUGCUUCUAUCAAUCUUAGUGGCGAACGGGUGAGUAACGCGUAAUCAACCUGCCCUUCAGAGGGGGACAACAGUUGGAAACGACUGCUAAUACCGCAUACGAUCUAAUCUCGGCAUCGAGGAUAGAUGAAAGGUGGCCUCUACAUGUAAGCUAUCACUGAAGGAGGGGAUUGCGUCUGAUUAGCUAGUUGGAGGGGUAACGGCCCACCAAGGCGAUGAUCAGUAGCCGGUCUGAGAGGAUGAACGGCCACAUUGGGACUGAGACACGGCCCAGACUCCUACGGGAGGCAGCAGUGGGGAAUCUUCCGCAAUGGACGAAAGUCUGACGGAGCAACGCCGCGUGAGUGAUGACGGCCUUCGGGUUGUAAAGCUCUGUUAAUCGGGACGAAAGGCCUUCUUGCGAAUAGUGAGAAGGAUUGACGGUACCGGAAGAGAAAGCCACGGCUAACUACGUG